rnacentral:rRNA from 1 species
AUUGAACGCUGGCGGCAUGCUUUACACAUGCAAGUCGAACGGUAACAGGCCUUCGGGUGCUGACGAGUGGCGAACGGGUGAGUAAUGCAUCGGAACGUGCCCAGAGGUGGGGGAUAACGCAGCGAAAGCUGUGCUAAUACCGCAUGUGAUCUGAGGAUGAAAGCGGGGGACCAGGCAGCAAUGUUUGGCCUCGCGCCUUUGGAGCGGCCGAUGUCAGAUUAGGUAGUUGGUGGGGUAAAGGCCUACCAAGCCGACGAUCUGUAGCUGGUCUGAGAGGACGACCAGCCACACUGGGACUGAGACACGGCCCAGACUCCUACGGGAGGCAGCAGUGGGGAAUUUUGGACCAUGGGCGCAAGCCUGAUCCAGCAAUGCCGCGUGCGGGAAGAAGGCCUUCGGGUUGUAAACCGCUUUUGUACGGAACGAAAAGGCUCUGGCUAAUACCUGGGGCUGAUGACGGUACCGUAAGAAUAAGCACCGGCUAACUACGUG